rnacentral:snRNA from 1 species
UGUAGUAUCUGUUCUUAUCAGUUUAGUAUCUGAUAUGUCUUCAAUCGGAGGAC